rnacentral:rRNA from 1 species
UACGUAUGGUGCAAGCGUUAUCCAGAUUUACUGGGUGUAAAGGGAGCGCAGGCGGCACGGCAAGCCUGAUGUGAAAGCCCGCGGCCCAACCGCGGGACUGCAUUGGGAACUACCGGGCUGGAGUGCCGGAGAGGUAGGCGGAAUUCCUAGUGUAGCGGUGAAAUGCGUAGAUAUUAGGAGGAACACCAGUGGCGAAGGCGGCCUACUGGACGGUGACUGACGCUGAGGCUCGAAAGCGUGGGGAGCAAACAGG